UGUGACACGAGAAUUUUAUAUAUUAGAUGUAUAUCAUUAUUCACUUAAAAAUUUCUAAAUCCGCUCCUGGCGUGACCCCCACCAAAGGAACCCAGAUCGGAAAAACAGGCAGCCUUCGCGCAUUAUAAAAUAGAGCAUUUGUUACCUCUUUCUCUUCUAACCUCUUUGGGUUAACCAGAGAAAUUUUAAAUUUAUUUGAGUUUUUAAUUAAUUAUUGUUAAAAGUAUAAGACUUUGGUAUAAGACAAAGGAGUUAAACUUCAAUAUACUAUGUGUUACUAACUGUGGUUACUAAUAAGUGUGUAAAAUGCCAUUGUUUAUUUACCUAUUCUACAUAUAGCCAGAUUAUAGAUAUUGUGUAAUAAAUAUAUAAGAUAUUUUUAAUUUGACGAAGGUGCCUUUUAAAACCAAAAAUGGAAAUGCCCAGUGAAAUCAGGGAUUGGAAGAAAACUUCUGAACUAGGUUCGGGAGCAUUUGGUACUGUGAUGUUAUGGAAAAAUGAUAAUACAAAUGAAUUUAUUGCAAUUAAAAAAUGUAAAUUUCUGAAGCCCAGUGCCCUUUCAACAAAGCAAAAAGAACGGUGGCAUAAGGAAGUAGAAUUUAUACAAAGUGUUGACCAUCCAAACAUUAUAAAAUUUAAAAAACUUCCAUUAGAGCUGGAGGUUUUCUUAAACAAAUAUAAUCCCUCAAAGUUGCCACUUUUAUCAAUGGAAUAUUGUAGAAAGGGUAAUUUAAGGAAAUACUUAACAAGUGAGCCUUUAAAAUUAUGUGGUUUAAUGGAAGAUGAUGUUAAAUGUAUUCUCAACGAUAUUUCGAAUGGUUUAAAAUAUUUACACAAUAAGAAUAUUACCCAUCGUGACCUGAAGCCUGAAAAUAUUGUUUUACAACAUUGUGAUAAUCGGAAAGGCCAAAUUAUUUACAUAAUUAUAGAUUUGGGCUAUGCAAAAGAACUACAAGAUAGUACAUUAAGUUUUGUUGGUACUUUGCAAUAUUUGGCCCCUGAAAUUUUUUGUUGUAAAUCUUACACCAAAAGUGUAGAUUACUGGUCAAUGGGUUUGAUAGCUUUUGAAAUAGCCUGUGGAAUUUUACCAUUUUUACCAGAAUUAGGUCCAUUUGAAAGAUAUGAAAAAAUACGCAAUAAAUCAUCUGAUGAUAUAUGUAUAUUUAUGUCUUACGCAGGAGUUGUUACAACCUCUAAACAUAUAAAAAAAGAAAAUUUUUUAACUAGCUACCUAAAAGAAAGUUUAGAAAUAUGGCUAAAAAAUAUACUGCAAUUUGAUGCUCCCAGUAGAAUUAAAAUAGAUGAAAUAGAGUCUUUAGACUAUUUAAACAGUUUUUUAAAUACAAAAGUUAUUAAAGUUUUUUCGGUAUAUAAUUACGAAUUUUAUUCAUAUAAGUUUUCUGACUGUAAGCCUUGCACUCUUAAAAGUUUGAUUUCAAGAGAUAUUGAAGUACCCGAGGAAGAGUUAUUUUUCUUAUUUACGGAUAAAAACUGUGAUAAUGAAUCAAAUAUUAUAUGCACCAUAGACAAAUUAAAUAUAAUUAAACAUUUAUUGAGAGAAGAGCAUUGUAUGAUUUAUGUUUUUAGGAAAGGUUUUGAAUUACAAAAACCUAAACAUGAUCUUCCUAAAUUAAUAAGAGAGACUUUUAACGUAUCUCAAACAUUUAAUGUCAAAUUCAUUAAAGCUCUCUACCGUGAGGCCUUGUUCUUUAUUUAUAAACAAUGUCAGAUAGAAAUAGAAUUAGAGAAAGCUUUUACAUUAUUAAUUGACCAUAUCAAACAGAUAGAAUCGUCUUUAUUAAUAAAUAAUACUAAGAUAUCUGAUAUUUUUAAGACUGUUCUUGCUAAGAUUAAUGUACAUGAUAGGAAUAAAUUUAUCACUUCGUCAUCUUCAAACAAACUUGAACUUUUCCAAUGUUUGAAGUGCUAUGAACGUCUACUGUCAAACUUGGAGAGGAGGGAUAAAAAUCUUAGAACAUUUAGAAGAGAAACGCAGAUUUUAAAAACGUGUGUUGAGGAUUCAAGAAAUGGGAUUGAAAAUAUAUUUCAGACAAGCAAAUUUAUCGACAGGUAUAUUGAAUCAAAUAAAUUGCAAGAAAAUUUUGGAAAGAAAACCUGGUGGCGACUACACUAAAGAUUUUUUAGAAAGAAUAAAUGAAGUGGUUAAUUCAACACUAAAAUUAAAAUACUGCAUCUUUGAAAAGGAUAAGUACAUUCAAAAUUACACUACGAAUGUAUGGAAAUUGCUGAAGCAUUCUGAAAGUUUAUUGUUGUGGACAGACGAUUUUAUUGAUAGUAUUGACAAGCUGGCUGUAGAAUUACAGAGAUUGGAAAAUUGGCAUGCUGAUAUUUUAGUAAAUAAUCAGGAAAUAAAUAAUCAUGCCCGUCCUUUCUUAAGUUUUAAUCCAGAAGAUACCUUUGAAAUUAUUGCCAAAAAUGAUUGCUUGAGACAAA
rnacentral:misc_RNA from 1 species